rnacentral:rRNA from 1 species
CAAAUGAAUUGACGGGGCCCGCACAAGCAGUGGAGUAUGUGGUUUAAUUCGAAGCAACGCGAAGAACCUUACCAGGGCUUGACAUCCCUCGAAUUGCAUGGAAACAUGCAAGUCCUUCGGGACGAGGAGACAGGUGGUGCAUGGUUGUCGUCAGCUCGUGUCGUGAGAUGUUGGGUUAAGUCCCGCAACGAGCGCAACCCUUGUUGUUAGUUGCCAUCAAGUAAAGUUGGGCACUCUAACGAGACUGCCGGUGAUAAAUCGGAGGAAGGUGGGGAUGACGUCAAAUCAUCAUGCCCUUUAUGUCCUGGGCUACACACGUACUACAAUGGCUGCUACAGAGGGCAGCGAAGCCGCAAGGCGAAGCGAAUCCCAAAAAAGCGGUCUCAGUUCGGAUUGUGGGCCGCAACCCGCCCGCAUGAAGCCGGAAUUGCUAGUAAUGGCAGGUCAGCAUACUGCCGUGAAUACGUUCCCGGGCCUU